CGGGGGCGGGGAGGGGGGGCCGGGAUGCACUUCCAACCUUCUCGCCCAGAGGAAGGGACCGCGGGGCGCCCCCUUUCCCGCCCCCACCCCGGGGAGAUCAGAGUGAUGCGAGCGGACGUUCGACGGAGCGUCGAGGCCGAUGCGGGUUCUGAGUCGAUUCCGGCUGCUUCGGGCGGCAACCAAGCCCUGUCCAAGGAGGCUGCGCGACCUCAGGAAGCAGAGAAAGACCAAUUAGUCGGUGCAGAUGGUCCGAGGCUUAGCAGACGGACGGACCCUCAGCGGCGGCGGCGGGACGGCGCAGAGGAGGACCCGAGCCCCAAAACUCCCUCCGGCGGCUCGCGGGUCCCCGCUGCGGUGGCGCUUUCUGCGCUGUCCCUUUGCGCCAGGGGUCUUGGACCUGCGCUCCCCGCAGCUUGACAUUUGGAGAACUGCACAGAUGACCGGUCUUGAUUCGUUACAGACGUUAACAAAUUACUUCACCCAAGAUUAUUUUAUGAUCUUUCAGCAGCUUGCUUUGAAGUCUCUGUUUAAGGUUUUUGGUUGUUGGUAGUAGCCGAAUUUAACUGGCUUUUUAUUUUAUCUCUAACUUCGUUUCGUUGCUCGGUGAAGAAUCAACAAAAUAAAACAUUUAAAGACCUAACGUUUUCCUCUGAU
rnacentral:lncRNA from 1 species